UUAAAAAAAAUACGAUUUUCUUUUUAUUUAACUGUUUUUUAGAUUGUUAAUACAUUACGUUAUUAAAAUUGCAUUAAAACUUGAAAAUAUGGGAAAUUAAUUUGAUAAAAUAGACAAGUUGAAUGAUGUUAAAAAGUUUUGACAGAGUGAAGUUGUAGAUUUUCCCGACGCCCAUCGCACUUUAAUGCCUGAUGUAAUAUGUGUAAUGGACUUUCGUUUAUAAUGGAAAAGAGAACGAGAGCAAAAAGCAAAAAGGGCGUCACGAUCGCGCGCUUUCCCCCAAAAAAAAACUAUGCCCUUAAAAAAAGCACAAAAAAAUGCGUCAGUUAUCCGUUGUAUUCGACUCGUUCGGAUUGCGUUUCCCGUUUAGAAUUUGCUCAACCAGAACGGAUUUGCGACGUACAAUUUAACGGUAUUGGUAUUUUAGAUUUGACAUCUUAUAAUUUGACGUUUUGAAAUUUGACGUUUCAAAAUUUGACGUUUCAACAAUUUAAUCAUAAAAUUCAAAUAAAAUUUAUGGGAUUUACAUAGUUUAAAUUGGAAUUUAGAAAAGUUAUAAAUAUAACAGUUAUAAAUUUUGAUUAGAGAAGUUUUGAGUUUAAAAUAUUCUGGUGGUGCGAAUGAGCAACAAAGGGUUGGUGGGUUUGUAGGAUGGGAGAUAUAAUAAAACCGGUAAAUCGUCAUUAAACCAAAUUUAAUUAAUGAAGUCGAUAUGAGGUGGUAUUCCCGUCGCGCCGGUCGUAAAUAUUUUAGCGCAGCCCGCACGGUCAUCUGGUCCCGCGGGUGAUCCUGCAGGAUACUCGGCUGGCCCCGGGACUACGGACCGUGAUCAACAAUUUAUGAACAGGCCGUGGAACCCAUGUCUCUGUUUCUGCCAAUUUAUUCGACAUAAAAUGUCCAAAAAAAGAAAUAAAAAUAUUAAAAAAACACCUCUACAUAUGUAUGUAUAAAUACACCAUACACGCGAUAAUAAUUUCAUGAAAAACUUUAAAUGAAGAUUUAUGGAAUUGCGUACAUAUUGGUAGAUAAAUUAUGAUUAUUUUUUCCAUGGAAAAUACAUAAUUAAUGUUAUGAAUUGUCAAUAGCAUGGAACAAUUUCCGAGUCGCUGAGCGAACGAGGACAAUUUAUAUUAAAAUGAUGAUAUAUUUUAUUCAUAACAAUAUUAUUGCUAACAAGUAUAUAUUGAUUAACCACACAUAUUCCAUUAUGUAUAUUUAUACAAAUUCUAACGGUUAUUACUAUCUACAAACAUUGUACCUAACAUAAUGCAUUUCGCCCCAUCAGAUUGACAUCCACUGAAUCGCCACCAGUACGCUUAUCAAACGGGAAAGUCAACAGAAUUGGCUCUGCACAGUUUGGAUGCUCCAGGAUAAAGAGGUGUUAAACAACGCAAUACCACAAUCUCUUGAAAGAGCUGCUCUUGACAGGGGAAUCCAAGAUCCGUAAUAUGUUUGAUACGAACUUAAAAAUUUAUUUCUCAACGUUUAAAUAUGUUGUGUCAAUUUUAAAUGUUUAAUAAUCGCUUCCACGUAAAAGUUAAACCGAUGGAAGUAAAAAGUUGUAAAUAAUUUUCUGUUUGUCCAUCACUUUGUUGCGAGGUCCAACCCGUCUGGUUAAAACUGGGGGGGAUGAGGUAAAACUAGACGAUGCCGGAGCUUGCAAAGCUCGUAAAAUCGCUGCCCCGGUGCUCUCUUAUUUGUUUUAUUCAAAAAGCGGCCGGUCCGACACGCUCGGCUGUUCCGUCCACGAUAAACUAUUGAUACUUGGACUUUGUGACGGCCUUUCGCUCGCAUAAUCGAAUUGCGGCCUCUAGAGCGGACUUCCGGUCCAACAGCUGCCCAACAACUGACGCGUAAGGACGCGAAUUUAUUGUAUUCGACCUUUUCUAGAAAUGAAUUUUCUAAGGGAGUUGAAAAGAAAUGUUUCUAAGAUUUUUUUUUUGAUAAAAAAAACAAGAUUAUUUAAGAUUCAGGGAUUUGGCUAACAAUGAAACCAAAAAAUAAAAACCCAAGUUCAAUAAAAGGAGAGUUUUCCAAAGAGUUGUGCCUUUUUAAAUAAAAUAAAAGCUAGACUAGUUUCUAGUUCUAGGUCUAGUGUUAGUUCUAGUUUUACACUAUCACUACAACUAAUGCUUAAACUUCAAUGUGACAUAAAUUCAAUAUUACCAACUGUAACCAACUUCACAACAAUUUGUCAAAAUUAACUGUCAAUUUAAUGAAACGUCAUGUUUUAAAAUAUGAACCCAAGUUAAAUAAAGACAGAGCAAAGUAGAGUGAAAAAGGAAGACUAUGAGAAAAUAUAUGCGAUUUGGAGCUCAGAAUUAAUAGCUAGAAUACAGUCAAAUCUAGGUGUAUUGUCACCGAGUAGCAGAGUAUAAGUCUAUAUAAAGACUACUUCAGUGGAUUAGCUCUAUAUCCAAUGUAAGUCAAAAAGAAUCUUCUGUAUCAGAUAGCUUUUAUUUGGUUUUUGACUGGCUUGGGUCUGGGUGAACUGGACUUUUCUUAGGUGGUUUGGGUAUUUUGGUCUGGCUUGGGUUGAGUAGUGAAUCAGUUCGGUUUGGUUUGGGUGUAGAAGAGUUAGAUUUGUUUUAAUUGUGGAUCAGAUUGAUUCUGUAUGGUGUGCGACUUUGGUUAUUUUUGAACUAGGCUGCGCUUAGGCGAUUUGAGUCUGGAUGCGUUAGAUUUGGUCAAGGAUUAAUUGAGGUUGCUUUGUAUACGCAAAGGUUGAACUUGAUUUGGCUGUGAAUCAGGUGAUUGAUACUGAUUUGGGUAUAGGAGCUUUAGUUAACCGAUUUGGGUUGGGCACGAUAUAAGUGUGAUGGUUUGGAUGAGUAGGAUUUAACCUGGUUUGAGUUAGAAUUAAGAUGUACAUUGUACGGCGUUUUUUGUAGGCGACCGUAUUGAAUGUCUUCUGCAGCUGUCAGCUAAAUUCAUAUAUUUAUCCAUCUGAAUUUAGCCAAGGCCUAAUUAAACGUUGCAAUAUGUUUCUGUCUCUUCUUAGCAGGUCUUCUUCAAUAUUGUAUCAAUGAAUCCACUAAUGCAACAACUGCUAAACAAAUGGGAGUACUCGUAGAGACUUCUCUGAAAUGGAAUGCACAGCUACAUGAAGUUGGAAAGAAACUCAAUUCAGUAGUUUUCCAGUUAAGAACAGUGAUGAGAUUGACAGAUCAACAUACAGCAAUGGUGGUGAUUUACUCGAAUUUCCAAAGCAUCAUGUCUUAUAGUGCGUUGUUCUAGGGAAAUUCCUCAGGAGUUGAACGACUAUUUAUAAUACAAAAAAGAGCAGUUAGAGCGUUGAUGAAUGCAAAUCAAAUGGAGAGGUGUAAACCAUUGUUUAAAGAAUUAAAAAUAAUGACUGUUGCUGUAUACCUAUAAUAGCUCUAUAAAUAACAGCAGAUGAAAACAAAAUGGGUCGAAUUAGAAACAAAACUAUAAGAGACGAUUUAGAAUAAAUACUGCUAGUAACUGAAAUAGGAAACAAACAACUGAGCUGGUCUCGACACCUAGUCGGAAUGGCAGAAGAGAGAAUUUCCAAAAUAGUUGGAAAAUGAAGAAGAGGGAGGCCAAGGAUAAAAUGGGAGAAUGGAGUGGAGGAGAUGGUGCGCAAGAAAUGAAGAAUAUGGCAUGAAACAUACGUAGUGCGGGGCUAAUGGUUUGAUAGUAGCGAGAGGAAGUUUUAGGAAAACCAAUGUCUUCAACAACAAAAUUUUAUUUACAACAAUAAUAACAAUAAUGUAAGUGCGGACGCGAAAAGGGUAACUGCUGACUGAUCUGCCGAUGGGAACUGCUAACUGAUAAGUGAUGGUAACUGGUGGUAACUGAACUCUCCGGGCCGAUCCUGGUUCCUUUUAUCCCCGAGUCCAGUAACAUCCCCGGUGAAAGUUCUCUUCGAGUCCUUAUCUGGACCAAAAGGAUCUGCUGUCCAGAUGUACGGAGAGAGUUCUUCUGAAUUGUUUCGAACGCUUUCUGGCGUCCAGAUGUUCGCCACGGAGAGCGUCCAGUAAUAUCUCCGGUGAAAGUUUUCCGGGAACCCUUUGCCUGGACCAAAAGGGUGUCCUGCCCAGAUGACCGGAGAGAGAUUUUUUUGAACGGUUUAAAAAGUUCUCUGGCGUCCAGAUGUUCGCCACAGUAGUUUUAAAAGAUGGAUAGAGGAACCCAACAACACCUCAACGCUAUGAUGGCAUCUAGGGGAAAUGAAAAAGAAGAGAUAAUCCAUAUCCAGCAACCACCUUUAUCCACAAUCAGCAUCAAAACCCCACCAUAUAUCCAGAACUAUUCCAAAAACUAUUCCAAUGUCAAAAGUAUUCCAAGUAAUAUUACGACAUAAAUUUGAUAAUCAAAUUUGAAAAAUAAUAAAUAUAAAAUAAUAUGUAUAGAAAACGAUAAUUUCAUUAAAGUUUUUCGAUAAACAGCA